rnacentral:rRNA from 1 species
AUUGAACGCUGGCGGCAUGCCUUACACAUGCAAGUCGAACGGCAUCACGGGUGCUUGCACCUGGUGGCGAGUGGCGAACGGUUGAGUAAUACAUCGGAACAUGUCCUGUAGUUGGGGAUAGCCCGGCGAAAGCCGGAUUAAUACCGCAUACGAUCUACGGAUGAAAGCGGGGGACCUUCCGGCCUCGCGCUAUAGGGUUGGCCGAUGGCUGAUUAGCUAGUUGGUGGGGUAAAGGCCUACCAAGGCGACGAUCAGUAGCUGGUCUGAGAGGACGACCAGCCACACUGGGACUGAGACACGGCCCAGACUCCUACGGGAGGCAGCAGUGGGGAAUUUUGGACAAUGGGCGAAAGCCUGAUCCAGCAAUGCCGCGUGUGUGAAGAAGGCCUUCGGGUUGUAAAGCACUUUUGUCCGGAAAGAAAUCCUUGGCUCUAAUACAGUCGGGGGAUGACGGUACCGGAAGAAUAAGCACCGGCUAACUACGUG